GUCCACGCCGUAAACGAUGGGUGCUAGGUGUGGGUGGUGUCGACUCCAUCCGUGCCGAAGCUAACGCAUUAAGCACCCCGCCUGGGGAGUACGGCCGCAAGGCUAAAACUCAAAGGAAUUGACGGGGGCCCCGCACAAGCAGCGGAGCAUGUGGUUUAAUUCGACGCGACGCGAAGAACCUUACCAGGGCUUGACAUGCACGAGAAUGUCGUAGAAAUACGGCAGCCCUUCGGGGCUCGUGCACAGGUGGUGCAUGGCUGUCGU
rnacentral:rRNA from 1 species